AAUAUAUAAUAUAUUACAUGACGCCGACUCAGUGGACUCAGACGAGGUUUUUAUUGCGGGGUUGUAAAUGCUGAAUUGUUUGGCCAACUCUGAAAAAAAAGCCAAGUAAAAACUAACGAAAAACGUUUAAACUUUGCAGCACUUCAAUCGCCUGUGCGUCACGUUUUCAAGUGUAUACGCGCCAUUAUAAUAUUUAUUACCUACUUAUCUUUAUUUCUUAUAGGUUUUUUCUUGAAUGGUCAACUGGGAAAAUAUAAACAUAUUUUAUUAUUGGACACGCAACGUGCAGCCUUCGUCUCCCACCCUUGUGUAAUUUCGACCCUGAGCCGACCGAUGUUUCGUGGAAAAUGUAAAUGAAAAAUAAAGUCGAGCGCACUAGUCUCAAUACUGAAUAGGAAACUUAUUACACAAUAAUUGAUUGUGACAAUAUUCGAGGUUAUAUCGAGCGUUUGGAUGUUAUAACUUAUAAUAUCGUAACCGAGUAAACACUGAAUCGUAAAUAAUAAACUACUAAUUCAAUUAAUCAUAUUUUAUCGAUAAAAUACGAAAUAAUUAACGUGGGCCACGGUAAAGUUUUAAAUUAAUUUACUUUACGAUAAACGUUUUAUUUAUUUAUACCGACUAAAUGUGAUAGUUAUUCAGGAGAAAUGAGGAGGGAUCGCUUGUUGAAAAAAAAACUCUUAUCUCUUCUACCCUACCUUCAAAUAAAACACGUUGCUACAUUAUCUACUCAGUAGACAUAUGGGAACCUCAAAAAAUAUCAAAAGCUAGUUACACACAAUAUUAAUUACCUAACGGCGUCGUAUGUAGUAGGCACA